GGAGAAGCAGGCUCCCUGCUGAGCAAGAAGCCUAAUAAGGGGCUGGAUUCCAGGACCCUGGGCUUAUGACCUGAGCUGAAGGCAGACGCUUACUCAACUGAGCCACCCAGAGGCAAGACUGAGACAGAGCUCCACUUCUGCCGCUGUGUGGGGGACAGACUGGAGGGUGAGGGAGGUGACGCUCUAUCCAGACACAAAAUGAUGGCCAUCUCUACGAUCUCUCUAACAGCGGAGGUGUGGCCAAGAAAGAAUAUUGGACACAUG
rnacentral:lncRNA from 1 species